UCUUCGUUUCUUUUUUUUUUUUUUGGAUUUUGACAAGGUGUGAAAUGUUCAUUUCGGAGAAAGUAUUCAAUCCAUUCAAUUACAGGAUACGUAUGUCAAAAUUAAGGUGCUGUAUUCUGCUAUUUCUUGUGGAUUUCAUUAGUAUAAACAGAUUAGCAAAAAAUUAAAUGAAGAAUAGAGAGAGAUGAGAAAGUGUGUUUAAAAAUUUACCUAUACAAGCCAAAGUGGCAAUGGUAUAUCUUUUCGAUAGACAGGGGCAUUCUGGCUUGCAGUAAGUAUCAAUGUGACGCAAUGGGGGCCGUUCAGGUUCCGGGAGCGAUUCAAACGAGGCUUGUCUACUGUAUUCUCUCUCAUCUUCGAAUCCCUUAUUGUCUUUGCUACCCUCACGGGGCGUUUCGAAUUCCUCGUAGCCAGCAUUGCUUCUUCUGAACCUGAAGUCGCAAAUUUUGAAAUUAAAUUUUCACAAAAAAAAAAAAAAAAAAAAAAUAAGAAGGAUCCUUUUCAAAAGAACAAACA